GUAAAAAUAAGAAUUUUAUCGAUACUGCUCGCAAAAGCGAGAGCUGCUAGGUGCAGCAG
rnacentral:ncRNA from 1 species